AUGGAGCCACGGAUGAAACUGAGCAAGGAGAGCUCUAACCCACCAGUGGACAGGAAACUCUACCGCAGCAUUGUGGGUAGCCUUCGCUAUCUGGUGCACUCGCAACCGGACAUCUCCUACGCGGUUGGUUUCAUCAGCAGGUUCAUGGAAGAGCCCACGACAGAACACUGGGCGGCGGUGAAACAGGUGCUGAGGUACGUUGCAGGCACCCUGAAAUUUGGGUGCAGAUACAAGAAAGGAGAAGUGGAACCACAGCUGGUUGGGUACAGUGACGCAAACUUCGUCGGAGAUGUUGAUGACAGAAAGAGCACAUCUGGGACUGUGUUCACCUUCGGGGGGAGCGCGAUCAGUUAG
rnacentral:rRNA from 1 species